AUUCAUCUGACGAGUCUCAGAAUAGGAUGAAAUGCUCAUCCUAGAU
rnacentral:hammerhead_ribozyme from 1 species